AAGGGCACCACAAGAACGCGUGGAGCAUGUGGCUUAAUUUGACUCAACGCGGGAAAACUUACCGGGUCCGGACACACUGAGGAUUGACAGGCGAUAAAUUAUGCUAGUCCUUUCAUGAUUGUGUGAUAGGUGGUGCAUGGCCGUUCUUAGUUCGUGGAGUGAUCUGUCUGCUUAAUUGCGUUUCAGCAUAUUAUGCAACGAUAUGUUGCGUGGUGUGUUGUCUACGGGCACGCAUCGCGCGCAUGCGAUUGCUAUGAAGGCAACGAACGUGACCGCAACCCUUUGUUGCAUCCGUCGGUCGGCGCUUGCGUCGUCUAUUAAGGAUUUGCCAACUAAGGGGACCGCCAGGGUUGUUUAACCGGAGGAAGGUUGCGGCAAUAACAGGUCUGUGAUGCCCUUAGAUGUUCCGGGCUGCACACGUGCUACAAUGAUUGUUACACAAAGUAUCUAACUUAUAGCUUCACGCUUCGGCGUAAGCCAUGACGCGAUCAUCGCUUCGCGCGGAGUGUUUACGCUCGUGCGCGUAUGCGAUUGACUUCGCUCAUGAAACCUACCUCGAAAGUACGGUAGGCAAUCAAUUCCAAGUGACAAUCUCCCGCGCACAAAUCAAAUGGGUAAUUUACGUGCGUCGUUCGCGGCGCGCGUGAUUGCACAUGUGCUCUAUUAAUUCGUGGUCGGGACAGACCAUUGCUAAUUGUUGGUCUCGGUCUCAACUAGGAAUGCCUUGUACGGGUCUUUGGUUCAACAAACCACCCGGAAUACGUCCCUGCCCUUUGUACACACCGCCCGUC
rnacentral:rRNA from 1 species